rnacentral:rRNA from 1 species
CUGCGGUUCGAGAAAAGUUCUUUUUCGUUUCUUUUCUUUGCUUUUCGCUAAGGUUUACAAGGCAUUGAAGGUUGCGAACGUGUCUCGCUACACCUCGCUCCUGAAUCCUGUUUACCCGACAGUAUAAGUAAAAGAAAACUUGAUGACUCCGGAUAACCAUUGCCGAGCGCUAAGGUCUUUGAGUACCGGCGCCGUAUCCAUCGAAAGCAUCUGCCUUAUCACGCUAUUUUGUGAGCCAUUGGCUUACAAAGGCUGUGACGGGUAACGGGGAAUCAGAGUUCGAUUCCGGAGAGGGAGCCCGAGAAACGGCUACCACAUCUAAGGAAGGCAGCAGGCGCGCAAAUUACCCACUCCUAGACCAGGGAGGUAGUGACAAAAAAUAACGAUGCGGGAUCUCAGUACGAGAUCUCGCGAUCGAAAUGAGCCUAGAGUAAAACUUUGAGGCGACGAUCAAUUGGAGGGCAAGUCUGGUGCCAGCAGCCGCGGUAAUUCCAGCUCCAAUAGCGUAUAUUAAAUUUGUUGCGGUUAAAAAGCUCGUGGUUGGAGUUCACAAUUCGGGUCGGGGCGGCCUCGAUGGUGUUGGAUGAAGUGAGCUUCGGGAAAGAAGGGCUAACGUUUGUUACUUUGUAACACUAGUUUUCUACCAUUGUAUCCAAUGCCCUUCCCACUCGCGUUCCUCGAGAGUAGUUCGCUACGUUCUCUUCGGUUAACGCUUCUUGUUGGUUGAGGUACGAUGCUGUAUGGGCUGAAAAGACGUUCGGCUCUCCCGUCCUUUUCUUCUUAGUCCUCACUCGAGUAACCAAGUCUGCCAUCCGACUUCGUUUUGUUAUUUUCCCGUUGAAUAUUGAACGGGGGAAAAAAAUUAGCUGUCUACCUCGCAGUUGAACAGUUUAAAGGCGUUGUACUUGGCUCUUAAUUGAGUCGGUACUGUACUCCCUGUUACUGUGGCGGUGUCAGUGCUCUCACAUUGAGAAAAUUAUUGUGCUCAAAGCGGGUACUUAAGGUGGAGGGGGGACCUGGUUCUCCUCUCGCCGAGCCCGAAUGGUGAUACAUUGAAUGAAGGAAUAAGACCUCGAUUCCUUCGUUAUUUCGGAGGUGAUAACAACCGAAAUGCGAGAAUUGUUUUAUGGUUUUUCUCGGUUUUUUUUCGUUUUCUUCGGAAUUCGAGGUAAUGAUUAAAAGGAACUGACGGGGGCUCAGGUACUGCAGCGCGAGAGGUGAAAUUCUAAGACCGUUGCAAGACCGCCUACUGCGAAAGCAUUUGCCAAGGAUGUUUUCAUUAAUCAUGAGCGAAAGUUAGAUGUUCGAAGGCGAUUAGAUACCGCCCUAGUUCUAACCAUAAACGAUGCUGACUAGCUAUCCGUCUGUGUCUGAAUUGUCGGGCCGGACUGGAGGCCCCCCGGGAAACCUCAAGUUUUUGAGCUCCGGGGGGAGUAUGGUUGCAAAACUGAAACUUAAAGGAAUUGACGGAAGGGCACCACAAGGAGUGGAGCUUGCGGCUUAAUUUGACUCAACACGGGAAAACUUACCAGGCCCAGACGCCGGAAGGAUUGACAGAUUAAAAGCUCUUUCUCGAUUCGGUGGGAGGUGGUGCAUGGCCGUUCCUAGUUGGUGGAGCGAUUUGUCAGGUUGAUUCCGGUAACGAACGAGAUUCUUACCUAUUAAUUAGAAACGACGACAAUCUAAGGUGUCGGUCGUUGCUCCGAGUUAAAAGAAGAGAAUGUCUGUCGAGCUAUGCUCUCUCUUUCUAGUAGUUUCUUUGUUGGAGCGAACGUUGGAGGACUGGCCGCGGACCUCUUCUUAAAACGUACGAGUCCCGGUACGUGGAGCGUCCUAGAAUCUUCUUAGAGGAAUCGGCGGUAAAACCCAGCCGUAAGAGAAAGAGCGAUAACAGGUCUGUGAUGCCCUUAGAUGCUCUGGGCUGCACGCGCGCUACAAUGAAGGGUUCAGCGCGCUUCCCUUCCGAGAGGAACGGGUAACCGUCUGAAACCCCUUCUUAAUUGGAAUUGGGGAUUGAAAUUGUUUCCCAUGAACGAGGAAUUCCUAGUAAGCGCGAGUCAAAAUCUCGCGCUGAUUACGUCCCUGCCCUUUGUACACACCGCCCGUCGCUACUACCAAUGGAAUGGUUAAGUGAGAAUAUUGGACUGGCACCUCGAGUGGUGGCCCAAUCGGGUCGUCACUCUCGACGGUUGACGGAAAGAUAUUCGAACUUGGUCAUUUAGAGGAAGUAAAAGUCG